CAUACACACUACACCACACACACGUUAUAUUAUUAUUAUUAUGACUACUUAUGGUGUGUGUGUUUCUUUUUUUCGUCUCUCUAAGAACAUCUCGUGUUACGUAUAGUUUUUGUACACACAGAUCUCCAAACGCCGACGCCGACGCCGUCUAUAAUAAACGACAAAACAUUGUCGGUCGUGUGUGAGUGUGAAUGAGCCGCGCCGACGAAGAAAAUAAUUUUUCUUGUCACGGAAACAAUGCGUACUCUGUAUAACGAUAAUAAUAUAAUUGACAGACGUUUCCCGUCUCUACAAUACAUUUAAUAUUAAAACCACACUUUUACACGGAAAUUCGUUCAGAAAAUUUCACUUUACGUUAUACGCGUCGACGCCAUUAAUUCUACUACUACAAUAUUUUAUACUGAGUUCAAUUAGUGUGCGCGAGUGUGAAUAACGCUGCGCUGUCUUCAUAGUUGGUAUACCUCCGCGUCCGUCCGGCUGCUUCUGCCGCUUCUGGUGCCGUAGUUGCUUAUGGAAUUACUAUUUUACUGACUUUGCAGCUUGUUAUUGGAUUUAUAAGGGUUUCCGACGUGGUAUAGCCGACUAUGCGAAAUAGCAGCAGCUCACCUGCGGAUUCCAGCAGUGGCGUCCUUAGGCCGAUUUCUAUAGGAAGGGCCGAGCUCAACACAGUAUGUAAAAAUAAUACACGUCGAGCGGUAUACAUCACGUACACUGAAAUUCGCCAACCGUGACGUGGUAAUCUACCCCCGGCAUUUUAACUCCGGCAUACAGCCACAUAGGUCCGGAAAACAACCGACACUAAUUUCGGGGAGUUUGUUCACAGCACACACGUGUGAUAUAAUACAUAUAUAUUAUAUGUGCAUAAUAUAUAUAUUUAAAAACAAUAUAUAAAAAGACAAAUUUUAAUGUACCAAUAUUGAGAAUUGACUUUAGAAGUCACCUUAUUAGAGUUCGAACAAUAUGCAAACUUAUUUUUUUUUUUAAUUUUCAAUAAUAUUAUUAUUAUUAUUAUUAUUAUUGUAGCUUGGUAGUCAUCAAUUAUUUAAUCUUAACUUGUUUGACUAAUAAAUAGUAUGU